rnacentral:ncRNA from 1 species
AAAAGACUUAGUCCUAACCUUACCAUUAAUUAUCAUUAGACAUAUACAUGCAAGUAUCCGCGGCCCAGUGUAAAUGCCCUCAAUUACCCUAGCCCCUUAACAGGAAAGAGGAGCAGGUAUCAGGCACACCCCUCGUAGCCCAAGACACCUUGCUUAGCCACACCCCCACGGGUUUUCAGCAGUAAUUAACAUUAAGCUAUAAGUGCAAACUUGACUUAGUUAUAAUGACCCUAGGGCCGGUAAAUCUUGUGCCAGCCACCGCGGUCAUACAAGAGGCCCAAAUUAAUGGUACACGGCGUAAAGCGUGGAAAUAUGCUAUCUUGCCAGACUCAGACCAAAGUGUAUCCAAGCUGUCAUAAGCCCCAGAUAUACCUAAAACCCACAUAAAAAUGGUCCCAGCAUCAAAGAUCAAUUUACCCCACGAAAGCUAAGAAACAAACUGGGAUUAGAUACCCCACUAUGCUUAGCCCUAAAUCCAGAUGUUUACUUUACCAAAACAUCCGCCCGAGAACUACGAGCACAAACGCUUAAAACUCUAAGGACUUGGCGGUGCCCUAAACCCACCUAGAGGAGCCUGUUCUAUAAUCGAUACUCCACGAUACACCCGACCAUCCCUUGCCCUAACAGCCUACAUACCGCCGUCACCAGCCCGCCUAAAUGAAAGAAUAAUAGCGAGCACAAUAGCCAUACACUAAAAAGACAGGUCAAGGUAUAGCCUAUGGGAUGGAAGAAAUGGGCUACAUUUUCUAAAAUAGAAAACCAACGGAAGAGGAAAUGAAACCCCCUCAGAAGGCGGAUUUAGCAGUAAAGUGAAACUAGAAAGUUCACUUUAAGUUGGCCCUAGGGCACGUACAUACCGCCCGUCACCCUCCUCACAAGCAACACAACCCCAUACAUAAUUAACCACCACUCAAAAGCUGAAGACGAGGUAAGUCGUAACAAGGUAAGUGUACCGGAAGGUGUACUUAGCAUACU